UUGAAUGGUUAGGGGAAUGGAAUCGGCAUCCAUAUAGAGUCGUCUUCCAGGGGAUGGCCAGGGAAGGGAACCAGAACAGAACAAUACUGAAUUCCAAGGCAUUAUGUAAGCUUAAUUCGCUUUAAUCGCUUACGUGAGCCAUUUCCGAAGGCAAAUACAAUUUCGGACUACCUCCCAUUUGCUCGGAUGCCUGCGACUAUUUUUGUCCGGUCAGGUCGGAUCUGUUUUGUUUGACAAUUAGAGCUCUGUCCAGCCUAUUGAAGUGGCUGUAGAGUACCUGUAUAGAGGCAAAACCCACGCCGCCGACGAUCGCCUCGUAAGCUCAUUAAUAAAACCACAAACAACAACAGCGGCUCAUACGACAGCAGCAGCAGCAGCAACAACA
rnacentral:sRNA from 1 species